rnacentral:tRNA from 1 species
GUAUAGCUCAGUGGCAGAGCGCAUGCUUAGCAUGCAUGAGGUCCUGGGUUCAAUCCCCAGUGC